rnacentral:rRNA from 1 species
AUUGAACGCUGGCGGCAUGCCUUACACAUGCAAGUCGAACGGCAGCACGGGUGCUUGCACCUGGUGGCGAGUGGCGAACGGGUGAGUAAUACAUCGGAACAUGUCCUGUAGUGGGGGAUAGCCCGGCGAAAGCCGGAUUAAUACCGCAUACGAUCUACGGAUGAAAGCGGGGGACCUUCGGGCCUCGCGCUAUAGGGUUGGCCGAUAGCUGAUUAGCUAGUUGGUGGGGUAAAGGCCUACCAAGGCGACGAUCAGUAGCUGGUCUGAGAGGACGACCAGCCACACUGGGACUGAGACACGGCCCAGACUCCUACGGGAGGCAGCAGUGGGGAAUUUUGGACAAUGGGCGAAAGCCUGAUCCAGCAAUGCCGCGUGUGUGAAGAAGGCCUUCGGGUUGUAAAGCACUUUUGUCCGGAAAGAAAUCCUUGGCUCUAAUGCAGUCGGGGGAUGACGGUACCGGAAGAAUAAGCACCGGCUAACUACGUG